rnacentral:lncRNA from 1 species
CGCGUUCUCGCCUGGCCUGACAACCCGGAGCCCAGAGCAUGCUUUGGGGAUCUUUAUGAUGUUCGAGUUGAAGACACAUUUGAAUGGUGAUAGAUUCGGACUACAAGAAUCUGCAGUCCCGAGGGAAGGACGUGCAGCCUUCCUGGUCAUCCUUAGUCGGAGACCCAUGUCUCUGUGCCCUUUCAAUCAACCAUUCCAACUCUUACCUGGCCUACCCCGGAAGCCAGAGUACAGGCGAGAUUGUACUCUAUGACGGAAACUCCCUG